AUAAAAACUAGCACAAGAAUCCGGAUGUGCUCGUAAAACGUGAAUAAGCGAUAUAAUUACACUUGCCAAGUCAUACUUAAUGCAAUUAACGAUCUAAGAAUGCAACAGGGGUCGCAGUUACGUCAUUGCUAAUAUUAUACACACACAAUAAAAUGAACAGACAACACCCACAACUUAUAAGCGCAGAAAGCGGAAUGAUAGUGUUAUACUAUCUAUGGCAAAUCAUUAAUCGUCGAUUUAGAUUCAGCGCCAAUGAGUGCACAUGAAGUGAUCUUGUUUCUUAGGGUUUCUUUCGCCCCAAACUUUCUCCAUUGUCGACUCAAUCGAUUAUUACAGGGUUUCGUUACCAUGGCAACUAUUUCAAUAGUAACCGUUACUAUUGAAUAGCGCUUUAGUUGAGGACGCCAUCACUAGGGGGAGUAUUUUAGUUGAAGACGCCACCGCUAGAGGAGCGCUAUAUAGUUCAUUCAAUUACUAUGCGCCUGCAUCUCCUACUGAUUUUUUGUCUUAGUAGCAAAAGACAGUUUAGGUCAGAAUACAAAUUUCUAAAUUCUCUAUAUCAGUAAAAAAAAGUCAGUUGCAGGCAGACAAAAUGGUUUAAUUGAAAAUGUAAUUUCAGUUUUUGUAUAAAACUUGAACUUGUUAAUUUUUUGUUUUGUUUUGUCUUUUUUUUGAUAUUAGUAGUAAUAAAAAAUCGCUAUUGUAGUUGGACGUAGAGAUUUAAAAAUUAUAUAGUAAAUAGUUUAUAAUAUACUCAAGCUGUUAAAGUGCAUGUAAUCGCAUCUAUUAAGACCUUUUGAAAAGUAAGAGUGCAUAAAGAAAGUCGCAAAAUGCGUUUCUGCUUGUCAUAACUUUAAUAAUUACGAGCUGGACAUAUUAUAUUAUAAGGAAAAAAAGGGGAGUUUUGCUCGCGCAAGAAUUCAUUGAAAAGAAACUGGCCCCUAAAUUACCAUUAUCAUGGAAAACGAUAUUAACUUAAUAACAAACUCCAGUCACGUUUCACUGACUUGACUAUAUUGCGAACGCAUUCAAAGAAAUAAACUUUUACUGCAUAAACCCAAAUGUUAUUCUUAUAUAUAUAUAUAUAUA